GUGGUAAUAGAAUUCCCAUUUCGUAACAAUUUGCCCAUGAUCAUAUAUGACAAUAGACAUUAUUUUCUAGGAAGUGGUACUUCAUUUUUUUUUUCUCAUUUAAACACAACCGUGGCACCACAGUCCGGUUUUAAUAUCAUUUAAUCUUCCACAAAUCACACAUUAAAUGCAGCUUUCCACAAAAUGUGUUUCAAACCUG